UCAGACGAUGCGUCAUGCAUAUCAAUAAGCGGAGGAAAAGAAACUAACAAGGAUUCCCUUAGUAACGGCGAGUGAAGCGGGAAGAGCUCAAAUUUGAAAUCUUCAAGGUUUUACCUUGUCGAAUUGUAGUUUAAAGAAGUGUUUUCUGCUGAAGUUUUGGUAAAAGUUCUUUGGAAUAGGACAUCAUAGAGGGUGAGAAUCCCGUAUUUGACCAUUAUUUUCAGCUGUGUGAUACACUUUCAAAGAGUCGGAUUGUUUGGGAAUGCAGUCCAAAAUGGGUGGUAAAUUUCAUCUAAAGCUAAAUAUUGGCGAGAGACCGAUAGCGAACAAGUACCGUGAGGGAAAGAUGAAAAGAACUUUGAAAAGAGAGUUAAACAGUACGUGAAAUUGUCAAAAGGGAAGCGUUUGACACCAGUGUUGUUUUCUCGAAAAUCAAUUAAAAAUGAGUUAGAUUUGUAUUGCUGAGACCUUAAAAGUUCACUGUACAUUUUUCGUGUCUUUUUUAAUGCACUUUUCGUUUAACAAGUCAACAUCAGUUUCCUUUGUUGUAAAAGGGUCAUUGGAAGGUGGCUUUCUUUUCGGAGAAAGUGUUUAUAGCCUUUGACUCCUGCAAUCGGAGAGACUGAGGUCUGCAGCGUAGAUCCUUCGGGGUUAGAUACAUUUGUGCUAAGUUAUAGCUUUUUAUAGACAACUUGUUGACUAUGAUUAGUCUUGUAGCUUACUCGCUUAUGCUAUUUUACCUACGCUUAGGAUGUUGAGUCGUAGAGCACGCAG
rnacentral:rRNA from 1 species